rnacentral:lncRNA from 1 species
CGGUGGGCGGCCAGGUGGCUGCCCUGGGAGAAGCGGCGCCCGCACUCCUCGCAGGCGAAGGGCCGCUCGCCCGAGUGCACCCGGGAGUGCGCCACCAGGUGCGUCUUCUUGCCGAAGUUCUUCCCGCACUCGGCGCAGGUGAAGGGCCGCUCCCCGGUGUGCUGCCGCUGGUGGGCCCGCAGGAAGCGCUCCAGCCGGAAGCUGCGGCCACAGUCUUCGCAGCCGAAGAGCGAGGGGGGCGCGGCCGCNCGCGGCCGCCGGGGCCCGCGGGGGCGCUCCCGGGGCCUCGGGCGCAGGCUCGAGGGCGGGUUUCAGCGGGGCCUCGGCGGGGGGCUCCGACGAGGCCUCCUGCGGGCCGGCCGGAAGCUGGGGGCUCCCCGCGCCCGGGCCGCCCGGCGCGGACCCUUCGGACCGCUUGUGGAUCUUGCUGUGAGACAGCAGGUUGGGUUUGUGGCGGAAGCGGCGCCCGCACUCCGUGCACGGGUAGGGCUUCUCGCCAGUGUGGAUGCGCCGGUGUGAGGUCAGGUAGGGCUUAUUGGUGAAGCGCUUCCCGCAUUCGGGGCACUGGUGGGGCCGCUCGCCCGUGUGCACGCGGCGGUGGGCGAUCAAGUUGGGCUUGUGCCGAAAGCGCUUGCCGCAGCAGGCACACUGGAAGGGGCGGUCGACCGCGUCUCCACCGGGCCGGGGGGCGGUCACGGCCGGGCGGCCCCUAGGCCGGGGCCCCAGAGCCUUGGCUGCUGCCUCCUCCAGGGCCUCGGCUACGUGAACCCGCUUGUGAGCAACUAGCUGGUCCCACUGGGCAAAGCUGCGGCCACAGUUGCCACAUAUGAAGGGCCGGGCCUCCGGGGCUGGGGGGUGGCACCUCCGCGCGUGAGCUCGAAGCUGCUUUUGUCGCCAGAAGCGUCUCUCACAUUCAGGACAGGCGAUGGGCCGCUUUGCGGCCGAGUGGGCUCGCAGAUGCAGAACCAGGGCCACCCAACCUCGGAAGCUCUGCCUGCAGAGGUGGCAGGCGAAGCCCAGAUCUGGGGUGGCGGCGGCAUGGACCUGGCAGUGCAGCGCCAAGAAGGGGGCGUGCCGGAAGCGCCGGCCGCAUUCAGGACAGGGCAGGGGCAGGCGGGCCUGGCAGUGUCGGGCAUGAAGCCACAGGGCCACCCAGCCGGGGAAGUGCCUUCGACAGUGGGCACAGCGAUGGGCCCUGCCCGGGGCUUGGCUGCCCGACUGGGCCACGGAAGUGCCUUGUAACCUCAGCCCGCGGGGCUCCUUCUCCAGGGUCGGGGGCAACUUCUGGGAGGGCCCAGAGAGCCUGGGCUGGGCUGGGCCCAUGGCCAGGGGGCCCCUGCAGCGACGUUCCAGCAUGGGUUCUUCCUCUGCUGAGGGUGGAAAAGCAGUGUCACUCUGGGGAUCAACUCAUCCUGCCCCCGUUCCUCCCUGGCCGACCCCAGGCCCGAGAGGAGCUCAAAUCUCUGAACUGCUAGAGCCCUUGAAUCAGGACUACCCUUCUAUUGCCUUCUGUGUUCUGCGUCAGUUCAGUCAGGGGCUUCUAGAUGCCAUUCCAAGUGUAUUUGUCCUAAGUGUUCAUUGAGCCUGGAAACUACCAGAAGGGAGGAACUCUGACACUUCUUGGAAUCCCCCUCGUGGCAGUCACCCCGGGUCUGGCAUGGAGUAAACACUCCAGCGCUGGCUGCACAAACAUUCCUGCCUUAGGACUCACCAGAAAACGCCGUCCCCUCUCCCUCUAGUGCUUUCCACUUUUCAAGUGCUUCCCUGCUGCUCUCGGCUUGUUUCUACUAUUUCCUCUUGCUACCUUUGAGUAGCAACCUUGUGAGGCUGGAUGAACAGACAUUAUUAAGCUCCCUGCUUGACAGAUGAAGCAACUCUGAGGCAUAAGAGGAAGGAGGGAACUUGCCCGAGAGGACACAGUAAACCAAAAGCAGAACCAAGACUAGGGGACAGGCCUUCUAAACUCCCAGUUAGCGUUCUUUCCUCCAAAACACCGGGGUAUGUACAGCUCCCACAGAAACUCCUACGGCCCUUAUCCUAUUUACCCUCUCCCGGGCUCUAAGCGCGCCACAGGGGAGGCAUUUCUGGCCUCCCUAACCUCAGUGUCUCAGGGCGGAAGCCUGGAGAGCAAGAGAGAACAGCGCUUCUGGGGAACAGGAGGGCAGCGCUUGGAUGGUACUCCCAGGACUGCAGAACGCCAGGCCACUGUCUGUCCAGGCGGUGCCCACACUCUGCCUGCCUGCCCCCCUCCACCCACACGCGAUUAGGACAUCGCGAGAAGGAAAGCGCCCAUGAAUCCAAGAAACACCCACAGCCUGUUAGCCUCGGGCCCGGAUCCCUGCCUCCCCCGGGGUGGUAGCGAUUACUGGGGCAAGAGAAGGGGAGGAAAGACAAGACUGCAAUCUGGGUCCCCUGCGAGGUCAUGCCCCAACCCCACCGGGGGCUGCCCCACAUUCAGCUAUUCCGCGGUGCCAGGGAGCCCAGAUUCCUCAAGAAGAGCUUCCUAUAGCCACUGAGGGGUGGAUGGUAGUUAGCCUCUUAAUGGACCUUCACUGCAGGCUUGCAACCUCCGGACACAUCCUCCCUAAAUCCCCUAGAGCAGAACUCCUCUGGAGGAGCUCAGACGUGACUCAUUCCCCACGGCCAGACUGAGCACAGGGAAGACGCUGGUACGAGAAUGUGAUCCUUCCCCCCUACAGGUGACUUCCUUCCUCCAGGAGGAGAUCUGAGCACUGGGGCUGUGGAAUGGUGUGGGAACCCAACAAAGAAGGCCAGACUCUACCCUGCAGACCGUAGAGCUGGAGAUGAGGCUUUUUCCAGCUCCUCCGGGGGAUGUUCCUGGGGAUACUUCUGCGGCUGUAGCGCCUGCUUCGGCCCACACUCUGGUAGCCCCCAGAUGUCAGAGAAAACUGCAGCAGUAAAGACACCCCUACCCCCAUGGCAGAGCUCAGACCUCUGAGCGCAGAGAGGCCAGCCUUACCUGCGGGGAGGGGAGAGAAAACACGCGUGAGGCUCUGAGCUCCUCUAGGGCAGUCAUCUUUGUGUCCUCGCCAGCCACAACCCCCUCCCCCACCCAGGCUCGACACCCCGCCCGGCAGGGGAACCUUAAUGGCUACUGGAUUAAUAAAUGAAUGUGUCCCCUUCACCAAGGAAGUACACGCCAGCGUUCGGGGGUCAUUUCCUCCACUGGUAAGGUCACAGCACGAAUUCUCCAUGCUGAUGGCCAAAGGCCGGCCGAUGGCAGAAACUCGGGAAUCCCUGCUGGCUCCCCUUCCCCCACCCUCCUCCCAACAGGAAUUCCAGGCCCGUUUCCCAAGGGGCUGCGUAGGGCGAGCUAGUGUGGCCAGGUCUCGGUCACAAUCCCCUUGCGCCUUCUGGACGGCAAAGGGUCGUGGAGACCCCACACCCCCCUUUUGUUUUCGCGCGUGUCCCCCGUCCACGUCGCGGACAUACGGCUCCGCGCACCCCGAAUGGGCCCUUUCGGGUCCCCACGCAGAGCGCACCUCGCGGAGCCUGUGCGCAGGUGCGCGGGCUCGGCCCCCCCCUUCGGUCCAGCACUGUCCGCCCCCCCCCCCUCCAACACACACACAGCGCACACACAGUCACGCGCCCGGCAGGUAGGGCCGCCCGCCUCGGGCCCGCGUGGAACCCCGCGCCCUGCCCGGGACGAACCUCUCCGGCGGGGUGCGCGGAGGCGCGUCGCGCGUCCAUGAGGCCGGAACGCCGGCGCCGGCGGCCGCGGCCGGAGGGCGGGGCGGGCGGCGGGGCCAGUCCCCUCCGCACCCCUCCUCCCAGCGCCCCCUCGCGGGCUGGGCCGGGUCGGGGGCGGCUGCCGGGAGCCCGACUCGGUAGCCAUGGCGACCGCAGCCCGGAUUUUCCGGGACGGGCCCGGAUCAAGUUUCCCGACCCUUUGUCCCUACGGAGGACACGCGUCCCUGCGCGACCGCGUGGCCGGGCCGCGGUCCCUGGGCUAGACCCGGCCUCGUUGGCUUCUUCCGAGAGGGCGCUCGCGGCCUCCCGGCCACCCCUGCCCCGCUGCGGCCGNGCCGCCGUCGGCCACCGCGACCUCUGGCCUCGCUGCAGGCGAAAUACCCCUGGCUGGGGGCGGCGCGGCUGACCCGAAAGUCUGGCUUCUGGUUUGUUCACGAGUGGAGAAAGGAAAGGCCCGAUCGCGUGAACUUUACAAAGGGAAUGCCCUCAAUUCCAGAAAUUACCACGAGCAGGCGUUCGCUGCUUCCCGGGGCCGGGGGCAUGGGGCCUGGCUCAGGGACAGCUUCUCGCACCGGGCAUUUCGCUUGGAAGCGCGCGGCAGCCGGUUGGCGAGUGCGGAGGCAGGUGCGAGCCUGCGCCCGUGACUCACCGCCGAGCAGGUGGCCGAGGCUUUCCAAACCAUACACUUCCUGGGGUUUCCAGGCUAUUACAGUGUCAUGCACUUUUGUGCUUUUCAACAAAGUCAACGUUAAGUAUACAAUCAUUUUUAAAACACUUAAAUCUGUUGCAACAGUAGGAAAUAGAAUAUAAAAAUCUCUCCUACUCUUAGAUCCGUUACAUUUCGUGUUUUGGUAUGUCUCCUCCGAUGUUUUUUCUAUGCUUACCUAUGCAUGUUUGAUGUGAUUAGGAUAAUGCGAUGCAAAAAUGUAUUCUGCCCAUUUCUCCCAUUUUAUUGGAUAUUCUUUUAUGACAUGAUCCUUAAUGGCAGAAUAAAUGUACAGAUACAUUUUCUUGUUUUUCUAUAUCAUUGAUCAUUAUAGAUUCAUCCUUUAUCGUACAUGCCUGAUUUUAAAAUUCUAGGAGUGGGCAACUGAUGGGUCAAAGGCACAGUAUAUUUUUUAAAUGUUUUCUAAAUUACCUUCCAGAAAAUUUUAUUAGCUUUCCCUUGAGAAAUGCCCAUUUUUCCAUCUUAUUGACAACACGGGCUAUUUUUUGUCAAAUUUAAAGUCAUUGUCGGGGUGCCUGGGUGGCUCAGUCAGUUAAGUGUCUGACUUUGGCUCGGGUCAUGAUCUCACUGUUGGUGAGUUCAAGCCCCAUGUUGGGCUCUGUGCUGACAGCUCAGAGCCUGGAGCCUCCUUCCGAUUCUGUGUCUCCCUCUCUCUCUCUGCCCCUCCCCUGAUCAUGCUGUGUCUGUGUCUCUCUCCCAAAAAUAAAUAAUAAAACAUUAAAAAAUAAGUAAAUAAAGUCAUUGUUUCUCAUUGUUUUGAAUUUCAUAUGUCACUUCCUGGAUUACUAGUGAGCUGACUUGUUUUUUCACAUAGUUAUGUGUUGCCUUGCCUUUUUGUAUUUCUUUUCUUUUCUUUUUUUUUUUUUUUUUUGGCGAAUUUGCUUAUGUCCCUUUGCUCACUUUUCUAUUUGUAUGUAUGUUUUUUUUUUUUUAAGUAGGCUCCACGCCCAGCACAGAGUCCAGUGUGGGGCCCAAACUCAUGACCUUGAGAUCAAGACCCCAGCCAACAACAGUUGGUCCCUUGACCGACUGAGCCCCCCAGGCGCCCCUCUAUUCGUCCAUUUUUAAAAGCUGGGAAAUUGGUUUUAUUUCACACUGGGGGCUCAUUUCUUAUAAAGUAAAAGACUUUCAUGGUUUCUGCCUUGGGUGUCAUAUAUAGAGCAGCCACUGCACCCCAAAUUAAAUUUUAUGUGUAUAUUUUUAUCACAGAAAAUAAGUUUUAAUAUCUAAUAAUGUAAGUACUCCCCCGACGCACAGAUUUCUUUUUUUCCCCCCAAAAAAACUUUCUUGGCUACAGACAGUCGUUUAUUCUUCCAAAUAAACUUUAGAAUUUUCCCGUAUUUAAAAUUUUUUGUCAAUAUUUUAAAAUCCAUUUGAAGAGAUUUGAGAUUCAGGUCCCUGCAUUUGUUUAGGUCUUAUUUUACUUCUCACAGUCAAGGUUUCUAUUUGUAGAUUAAAUGUAGGGGCGCCUGGGUGGCUCAGUCAGUUAAGUGUCCAACUUCAGCUCAGGGUAUGAUCUCAUAGUUUGUGGGUUCAAGCCCUGUGUCGGGCUCUGUGCUGACAGCUCAGAGCCUGGAGCCUGCUUCGGAUUCUGCGUCUCCCUCUCUCUUUAUCCCUCCCCUGCUCACACUCUGUCUCUCUCAAAAAUAAACAAACGUGUAGACCAAAUGCUGGGCCAGCCCAGAGUAAUUGUGAGAUAUCCAUCAGUUCAUGGCUAAAUGUGAUACAUCCAAACACUGCAAUCCCACAAGCACCCUCAAUGGGACAUUCCUUCACAGACCCUCCAAAGCAUCUUCCUCUGUUGGUAAUCAGAGUCUCUUAGUCAAAAGGCUCUUCACUGAAGUCCAUUAACUACUCCCUCACUCCCUGGGCCCCGAUGGAAGGAGUGUCUUCCCGCCCAGUCAGGAGUUAAGCACCUGCUGUAACUUCCUCUUCUGGCAUAGCCAAAGGAAAUGAUGGGUCCCUUGCUCUGCAGAGACGAAAUGAACACAGGAGUUGCGAGGGAUUCCCUGACUUUCUACCAGCCAGGAAUUCUAGGCCUUGGUAUUUGAGACUUCACCCCUCAGUAUGCCUUAGAGGAGGAUGUAGCGGGGGAGGAGGAUGUAGGGGGGAGGUACAGCAGCCAGCCAAGUGGCCUGCCCCGGUGGAGUAGCUCUGACGUGCUCACCAGAGAAUGAUGGGGCUGGACAGGGUAUAGGACCCACCGGACAGCAAAAAUUGCCAGGGGCUCAGGGAGGAUCCCCCUUCCCCUCCAACGAUGGCUGGCUCCCACUACUGGAUU